GCCGCGUGUGUGAAGAAGGCCUUCGGGUUGUAAAGCUCUUUUAUCAGGGAAGAAAUCGUGCCGGUUAAUACCCGGCGGGGAUGACGGUACCUGAGGAAUAAGCACCGGCUAACUUCGUGCCAGCAACCGCGGUAAUACGAAGGGUGCGAGCGUUAAUCGGAAUUACUGGGCGUAAAGGGUGCGUAGGCGGCUUGGUAAGUCAGAUGUGAAAGCCCUGGGCUCAACCUGGGAAUUGCAUUUGAGACUGGGAGGCUAGAGUGCGGUAGAGGGGGGUGGAAUUCCCGGUGUAGCGGUGAAAUGCGUAGAGAUCGGGAGGAACAUCCAUGGCGAAGGCAGCCACCUGGU
rnacentral:rRNA from 1 species